rnacentral:rRNA from 1 species
GACAGAGGGUGCAAACGUUGUUCGGAAUUACUGGGCGUAAAGCGUGCGCAGGCGGUGAUGUAAGACAGUUGUGAAAUCCCCGGGCUCAACCUGGGAACUGCAUCUGUGACUGCAUUGCUGGAGUGCGGCAGAGGGGGAUGGAAUUCCGCGUGUAGCAGUGAAAUGCGUAGAUAUCAGGAGGAAUACCGAUGGCGAAGGCAGGUCUCUGGGCUGAUACUGACGCUCAUGCACGAAAGCGUGGGGAGCAAACAGG